GCCGGGGGGGCGGGGAGGGGUGGGGGUGAGGGCGCAGGGGAGGGGGCGCGGCGGAACUCCCCGGACCAGCAACACAGCAAUCAAAAAAAAAAAAAAAAAAAAAGAAAAGAAAAAAGAAAACACCGCAAACAAUAAUAAUAAAUAACCCAAAUUAAGGGUCGGAGAGGCGUCCCACCUUGGUCACUCUUGGAAACCACCUCUUCCUCCCCUCCCCAAAUGCAAAACACAGGGGGUGAGGGUUAAAAAAAAAAAAAGAAGAAAAACAAAACAAAACAAAACAAGGAUAAAUUCUGCUCGGGAGGAGCAAAAGCGUCUGCGGAGGUCGGGACAGCCAGAGAGGGCUGGAGGGGAAGCCGGAGGUGGAAAGUUCUAACAAGAAGCCUCUUGCCCCAGCAGCCGCCGGGGCUGGGGAAUUCGCAGUGGGGACAUUCCUAUCUCCAUUUCCCUGGUGCCGCAGCCAGAAGCGACAGGAAGGAGGGAUUCAAAGACGGACCCGAUUUCCCCUCCCACCGCACCCCGCUUGCUCGCAGGAGAGAGGUCGGACGGGGGCUCCCUCCUGUCUCCAUUCAGCCCCCCAGACGCGGACCAGAGGGCAGGCCGAUGCCAUCCUCACCCCCAGGCCCUGGCUAAAGGCAGGACUCUGUCAAAGUGCCUGUCCCCUCCCACCUUGGAGUCCUCUAAAAAUGGAGAAGAACCCCAACCUGAGAGAGCCCGGCCCCUUGGUCCCAGCCGCGCCUGGUGUCCGCGGGCCUGCUCCGGAGCCGGGGAGCCUGGAGCGGGAACGCCCGCAGCCUGUUGUCAUCUGUCAUCUGUUAUCCUCGGAGCCGCCUAGUGGCCUGCCCGGGACACUGCGCCUCCAGGCCGCCCCCGCCGCUGCCUCGUCGGUCCCUGCUCGCUCACCAGCUCUCCUUUCCCUUCCAGACCUUUCUCCCGCGUGGGGGCAACACCCCAAGCCUCCCGGGCCGAGAAGGUCAUCUAGCCCCACCUCGGCACAUGCAUUAAGCCCCUCGUAAGCACAGUGGCACGUUUGCCUGUGUCCCCUGGUGCCCAACCUGCUACCCGCCCCGUGCUGACGCCAGAGCCGCUGGGGGACCCGUGGGUCCUGCUUACGUGUCCCCUGCGUGUGUCUUUGGGUUGCAGAGCAGGCAGCGGGCCUUCAGGGUAGUGUUACACAUUAUUCUGAUUUAAGAAAUGAGACGGCUAGGGGCGCCUGGGGGGCGCCUGGGGGGCUCAGUCGGGUAAGUGUCUGCCUUUGGCUCAGGUUAUGAUCUCGGGGUUCGGGGAUCGAGUCCCGAGUCGGGCUCCCUGCUCAGGGAGGGAGCCUGCCUCUCCCUCUGCCUCUAUCCCUCCCCUCGUGCUUGUGUUCUCUCUCUCUCUCUCAAAUAAAUAAAUAAAAUCUUAAAAAAAUAAAAAUAAA
rnacentral:lncRNA from 1 species